rnacentral:rRNA from 1 species
UGAGUAAUGUCUGGGAAACUGCCCGAUGGAGGGGGAUAACUACUGGAAACGGUAGCUAAUACCGCAUAACGUCGCAAGACCAAAGUGGGGGACCUUCGGGCCUCACACCAUCGGAUGUGCCCAGAUGGGAUUAGCUAGUAGGUGGGGUAAUGGCUCACCUAGGCGACGAUCCCUAGCUGGUCUGAGAGGAUGACCAGCCACACUGAAACUGAGACACGGUCCAGACUCCUACGGGAGGCAGCAGUGGGGAAUAUUGCACAAUGGGCGCAAGCCUGAUGCAGCCAUGCCGCGUGUAUGAAGAAGGCCUUCGGGUUGUAAAGUACUUUCAGCGGGGAGGAAGGCGGUGAAGUUAAUAGCUUCACCGAUUGACGUUACCCGCAGAAGAAGCACCGGCUAACUCCGUGCCAGCAGCCGCGGUAAUACGGAGGGUGCAAGCGUUAAUCGGAAUUACUGGGCGUAAAGCGCACGCAGGCGGUCUGUCAAGUCGGAUGUGAAAUCCCCGGG